rnacentral:rRNA from 1 species
UACGUACGAGGCGAGCGUUAUCCGGAAUUAUUGGGCGUAAAGCGCGCGCAGGCGGUUCUUUAAGUCUGAUGUGAAAGCCCACGGCUCAACCGUGGAGGGUCAUUGGAAACUGGGGAACUUGAGUACAGAAGAGGAAAGCGGAAUUCCACGUGUAGCGGUGAAAUGCGUAGAGAUGUGGAGGAACACCAGUGGCGAAGGCGGCUUUCUGGUCUGUAACUGACGCUGAGGCGCGAAAGCGUGGGGAGCAAACAGG